rnacentral:rRNA from 1 species
AUUGAACGCUGGCGGCAGGCCUAACACAUGCAAGUCGAACGAGUGGCGGACGGGUGAGUAAUGUCUGGGAAACUGCCUGAUGGAGGGGGCUAAAUACUGGAAACGGUAGCUAAUACCGCAUACCAUCAGAUGUGCCCAGAUGGGAUUAGCUUGUUGGUGGGGGAACGGGUCACCAAGGCGACGAUCCCUAGCUGGUCUGAGAGGAUGACCAGCCACACUGGAACUGAGACACGGUCCAGACUCCAACGGGAGGCAGCAGUGGGGAAUAUUGCACAAUGGGCGCAAGCCGGAGACAGCCAUGCCGAGUGUAUGAAGAGGGCCUUCGGGUUGUAAAAUACUUUCAGCGGGGAGGCGUUACCCGCAGAGGAAGCACCGGCUAACUCCGUGCCAGCAGCCGCGGUAAUUC